rnacentral:rRNA from 1 species
ACCGCACAAGCGGUGGAUGAUGUGGUUUAAUUCGAUGCAACGCGAAAACCUUACCCACCUUUGACAUGUACGGAAUCCUUUAGAGAUAGAGGAGUGCUCGAAAGAGAGCCGUAACACAGGUGCUGCAUGGCUGUCGUCAGCUCGUGUCGUGAGAUGUUGGGUUAAGUCCCGCAACGAGCGCAACCCUUGUCAUUAGUUGCUACAUUCAGUUGGGCACUCUAAUGAGACUGCCGGUGACAAACCGGAGGAAGGUGGGGAUGACGUCAAGUCCUCAUGGCCCUUAUAGGUGGGGCUACACACGUCAUACAAUGGAUGGUACAAAGGGUCGCCAACCCGCGAGGGGGAGCCAAUCCCAUAAAGCCAUUCGUAGUCCGGAUCGCAGUCUGCAACUCGACUGCGUGAAGUCGGAAUCGCUAGUAAUCGCGGAUCAGCAUGUCGCGGUGAAUACGUUCCCGGGUCUU